rnacentral:tRNA from 1 species
GCUGUAGCUCAGUGGAAGAACACUUGCCUCAUAUGUGUGAGGCACUGGGUUUGAUUCUCAGCACGGCA